rnacentral:lncRNA from 1 species
UACUUUUAAUAUAUCUACUUUGCCAUAAACCCAGCAUCUGCCCUUGAAUAAGCAUUGGAAGGAAUGGCUGAUAGCAAGAACAGUAUCAGUGACGUAAAAUAUAAGAAUAGUAUUUAUGAAUAUGUUCAGACAAGAUACAGAACUACUGGCUCAAAAUCCGCAUGCAGUUCCAGGAAAGGCAGCUUCAUGUCUCCUCAGAGAAACGAAAGUUUAAAAGUUUGUUUUUACUAUUUCCAACACUUCUUGAUUUCCCACAGCAGUUAGAGCCAUGAGAAUAUUGAUGUGAGUAAGUUAACAUACAGAUCUAAAAGAUUAUGUCCACGUCAGAAUUCUUUUAUUCGGAGCUUUGGCUUCCUGCCAUGUGUUCAGGCAAUAAAUUGGCUGUAACAGAGCUGCUUCUAGCAUUCUGCUGAGUAGAAGUAUCCCAGCAGAGACAAUAGGAGCCAAAAUAAGGACAGGAAAAAGAGAGGCAACCCAGGUUAUCAGGAUUUCUGAAGUGCUUCUGCAAUGUUGCUCCGCUCAGGCCGCAAAAAGCCCUAUGAAGUGUCUCACCAUGAAAGGCAGUCUGUUAAGACACAAUCUCUGCUGAGAACUGUGAAAACAACUCCUGGAAACUCAGCGUUUAGUUUACGACAAACGCUGAAAUGCUAUAUACUGACUGAAGAUUCAAAAACAGUGCAUUUUGACAUAGAUGAAGACGGCCAUCAUGAAAUAUGCACCAAGGAUUCACAAUCCCAUGAAGAUAUUGCGUGGUUAAGUGUGUUCACAAAGAACGAACCAGCAGUUACUGAUUCUAAAAAUUUGGUGAUCCUCACACAGAGAUCAAAGCUUAAUGAAUUUGUCCUGUUGUGCAAGGGUAAGAAGCAGCUGUCUCUGAAGGUCUUAAAAACAUCCUGUUCAGAGCCAGAUUAUCCUUCAGUGGAAAGAUGCAACAUGAAAACAUGCAAGCAUGAAGAUCCUGACUUCAAACAGCUGAGUGAAGAUAAUAACUUUUUCAUCAUGCAUUACCAAGGAGAUUCAGUGCAGUUCCAGUGCUAUGAAGACAGAAGUUACUACCUGUGUGUGAAUGAUGACUCCCUUGAUAUUCGCAAGCGGGAAAACGAAGAACUCAACGAGGACAAAAAUUUUUACUUUAGGGUGUCAUAUUUACAGGAAAAGUAA